AGGGUUUGAUUAUGGCUCAGAUUGAACGCUGGCGGCAGGCCUAACACAUGCAAGUCGAACGGUAGCACAGAGGAGCUUGCUCCUUGGGUGACGAGUGGCGGACGGGUGAGUAAUGUCUGGGAAACUGCCCGAUGGAGGGGGAUAACUACUGGAAACGGUAGCUAAUACCGCAUAACGUCGCAAGACCAAAGAGGGGGACCUUCGGGCCUCUUGCCAUCGGAUGUGCCCAGAUGGGAUUAGCUAGUAGGUGGGGUAACGGCUCACCUAGGCGACGAUCCCUAGCUGGUCUGAGAGGAUGACCAGCCACACUGGAACUGAGACACGGUCCAGACUCCUACGGGAGGCAGCAGUGGGGAAUAUUGCACAAUGGGCGCAAGCCUGAUGCAGCCAUGCCGCGUGUAUGAAGAAGGCCUUCGGGUUGUAAAGUACUUUCAGCGAGGAGGAAGGCGUUGUGGUUAAUAACCGCAGCGAUUGACGUUACUCGCAGAAGAAGCACCGGCUAACUCCGUGCCAGCAGCCGCGGUAAU
rnacentral:rRNA from 1 species